rnacentral:rRNA from 1 species
GACGAACGCUGGCGGCGUGCUUAACACAUGCAAGUCGAACGAAGAGCGAUGGAAGCUUGCUUCUAUCAAUCUUAGUGGCGAACGGGUGAGUAACGCGUAAUCAACCUGCCCUUCAGAGGGGGACAACAGUUGGAAACGACUGCUAAUACCGCAUACGAUCCAAUCUCGGCAUCGGGACUGGAUGAAAGGUGGCCUCUAUUUAUAAGCUAUCACUGAAGGAGGGGAUUGCGUCUGAUUAGCUAGUUGGAGGGGUAACGGCCCACCAAGGCGAUGAUCAGUAGCCGGUCUGAGAGGAUGAACGGCCACAUUGGGACUGGGACACGGCCCAGACUCCUACGGGAGGCAGCAGGGGGGAAUCUUCCGCAAUGGACGAAAGUCUGACGGAGCAACGCCGCGGGAGUGAGGACGGCCUUCGGGUUGUAAAGCUCUGUUAAUCGGGACGAAUGGUUCUUGUGCGAAUAGUGCGAGGAUUUGACGGUACCGGAAUAGAAAGCCACGGCUAACUACGUG